CCUACGGGAGGCAGCAGUAGGGAAUAUUGGUCAAUGGGGGAAACCCUGAAGCAGCAAAGUCGCGUGGAGGAUGAAGGCUCUAGGAGUGUAAACCCCUUUUGUUAGAGAAGAUUAUGACGGUAUCUAUCGAAUAAGCACCGGCUAACUCCGUGCCAGAAGCGGCGGCUAUACGGAGGGUGCAAGCGUUACUCGGAAUCACUGGGCGUGAAGAGGGCAUAGGCGGGUUAAUAAGUCAGAUGUGAAAUUCUGUAGCUUAACUACAGAACUGCAAUUGAAACUGUUACUCUGGAGUGUGGGAGAGGUAGGUGGAAUUCGUGGUGUAGGGGUAAAAUCCGUAGAGAUCAAGAGGAAUACUCAUUGCGAAGGCGACCUGCUGGAACAUUACUGACGCUGAUGCACGAAAGCGUGGGGAUCAAACAGGAUUAGAUACCCGAGUAGUC
rnacentral:rRNA from 1 species